rnacentral:lncRNA from 12 species
GUAACCUUAGCUUUCCAUUUCGUCCGCGCGAUGGAUCUGAAAGGGCCCAGGUGAAGUUUGUCUUUGACUUGACAGCUGGAUUACCUCCAAGUUUCACAACCGCCGAAGAAAAGUCCCAAAUCCCAGCUCUUCUUAUCAUUUGGCGCUUUAUGGAACAGCCACAGUGGAUUUCUAAAUAGUGACAGGUUCUCAGAUCAUACGAUACUAGGAAAGCGCUGCCAAGGAUAGGAGAAAAGACUCAGAAAGUGAAAAAUCGACAUUUAGGUUUGGCUUGGUGGCAUUAAUCCUACAAACAUUGGAAUACUAAUCAAAUCUUCGGAUGCAAGCCAUGUGCAAUAGAAGAAACAAGGAACCACAUAUUAAGGACGGAUUAUGUGCUCUGUUGCCACUCAGAAAUUCUCUGCCUUGCUGCCCAGGGUCUUGGUAGUCCCAGGAUACACUCCAGGAUUGCUAAAUGCUGGCUAACAAAUUAUAGCUUUAUUCUAAUUUUAGAGCUGCCAGGCCUUGUCCAUGUUAUGAGGUCAUCAAGAAAAACUAUACCAAAGAUGAAACUGACCCAGAAUGGUGCUCCUCACAUGCUCCUGCACUCCUGCCCCCCUACCUGCCCAGCUUCUCAUUGCCUCUCUGGGUGUGGAUGCCUAUUGUGGUCUCAGGCAUCACCAUGUGAAAGAUGACGUUUUCAGUGAUUUCUUCUUCUAACAUUCUAGGAUGUGGAUGAAAUUGGUGGGAAUUAUUGUGAAUGUCAAACUGGUGGGGGUUUUUUGAUUGAAGUAUAGUUGAGAUACAGUAUUAUGCAACACAGUGAUUUGACAUGAAUAUAUAUUGUAAAAUGGUUGCCAUAAUAAGUCUAGUUCUGUGGUUAUUUUAAAACCUAUCUUCAAAGUCAGUUCAUAUGCAAUAAUUCAGCUGUACAAUGUCUUGGGUGGUAUAAUUGCAGUUGUAAUUGCAGUUGUUGUUAUAAUAGAUGAUAAAAUCUUAUAAGGGUUAUAUUCCUCAGUUUUGUAGGAGCUAUUCAUCUCUUUUUUUUUUUGAUGGGUUGAUAAAUCAAGUGAAUAGCAUAUAGCACUGCUUCUCAAAUGAUUGUGAAAGAUCUAAUUUUAUAAAAUUUCCAAGAGAUUGGUAACUUUUGUAAAACCAGCAAAAAUAAAUUGUUAGUAAAAAAGAGAUAAGAAACA